CUGGAGAUGCUCUGGGUCUGUUCUAAGGACUGCAGAGACACUCUUGCACCAGCCCGAGGCAAGCUGUGAAAACCUAUGUCACUAUUCUGGCGAGAAGCAAAUAUAACUGCAGCAGAAUCACUCAUCACAGACAUGUUUCCAGAUGAGCUGGAGAACUGAGACAUCUGAGCUGCAAUGCCUUGUCCUUUCUGUGCUCGUAUUCUUCUCAUCGAAGGAGGCACAACUUUAACUUCUUCAGUCUGGCAGCUGGUGUCCUUGGUUUCAGACCGCUGCAUAGCAGAGCGAUAGCUGUCUAGUCGCCCUAGCGUGGAACUGUGAUCUGGGACAUACAUCGAGUGCCCUCGGAAAUCACUUUGGCCUGUGCCAACUAGCUCCUUUUGUAUGUUGUCAGGGAUUCCUGUUAUAGUCUUUCUCCUUUUGACUUUCUUCG
rnacentral:lncRNA from 1 species